CUGCUAAUUAAGCUGGCUGUUCUCCCUUCUCCGUGGGGGCCAGUGUGCAGUGGCUGCAGACGGCAGCCUCCUCAGUGGCGUACAUAACCUGUUGCUGGCGCAGGUUACCCCAAAGGACCUUGGAGACAGAU
rnacentral:snoRNA from 1 species